rnacentral:rRNA from 1 species
UACGAGAGGUGCAAACGUUAUUCGGAUUUACUGGGCGUAAAGGGUGCGUAGACGGUAUAAUAAGUCAACUGUUUAAUCUUCUGGCCUAACCAGAAUUCAGCGGUAGAAACUGUUGUACUAGAGGUUGGAAGAGAGAAGUGGAAUUCUCGGAGUAGCGGUAAAAUGCGUAGAUCUCGAGAGGAACACCGAUGGCGAAAGCAGCUUCUUGGUCCAUUUCUGACGUUGAGGCACGAAAGCGUGGGGAGCAAACAGG